GCUGGCGUCACCGUAAGCCGGCCAGAGCCCGGCGCGCUGACUGGAGGCCGGCGGCGCCCUUCUGCGCAGGCGCCUGAGGUCCCCGCAGUGUGCUCUUAGGAUUGGCUCUGCCGGGUUUUGGGACACAGUAACAAUGUGGAUGACAUGCCUCAAGGAACCUGAGCUCCUGCCUCCUGGGGCCUGUAUCUGCAUAUUCUGUCACUCCUUUUGGACUGAAGAGAAGAGGGGGUAUUGAUUAUGUGCUCAACAGGAGUUCCAGGAACCACCCUCCCUUCCUGCCCUUUCCACUGUGUCUGCCUGAGAAUGCUACCUGCUGCAGUCCUUGGGCCCCUUGCCACCCUUUGCAGACCUCCAGUGUAGCUUGCUGAAAGGGGACUCUUAAGAGAACCUGAUAUCCUGCCAUAUAUAUGCUCACGAAUCCCCUGGAGCUCGUCCCGACUUCUUCUGCAGCCUACCUGACAUGCGGACCUCCUCCAGACCCGGAACCUCCUGCUCUUUCUGGCUUCGGAGCCUCAUCCCCAACUUGUCUUCACUGUCAGUCUUGGCUCCCACCCGGUUCCUUGAUGGUCACUGCCCACACCCCAGAGUGGCAGCUGCCGCCCCAGCAAAAGUUAGCAUGACACUGUUCAUUGCCAAUUUGGUUAACACCCGGCAACCCCAAGAGUUGUUGACAUCACACCUAUAUAAACAGGAUGACUAUCCCUGGAGAAAAAUGACACCUGCUCACAUACCUUUACACAGACAAGGUGGCUCUGGGUGUACCUGCUCCCAAACCACAUUGAGGAAAUGAAGGGCUGAAAAGAAAUGGAGUGCCUCUCACCAGCCUGAGCUGAUUGUAUCAGACAAUUUCAGCUUAAUUCCCAUCCAGGGAAAGCCAAUGAGUCAAAGUUACCAAGACCAAAAGAUCAUGUAUUCAACCACUCAACAAAUAUUUAUGAGUGCCUAGCACUGUUCUUAGCCUCAGGGAUAAAGCAAUUUUUAAAAACGCCAAAUCCCUUCCUUCCUGGAGGUUUUCUAACAACAAAAGGAAAGAAAGAAGAUAGACAGCAGACACAGAAACUUGAAUAUGGCAUGCAAUAAUAAAC